rnacentral:rRNA from 1 species
AGGGGGGGGUGGCCUAAUACAUGCAAGUCGAACGAACUCUGGUAUUGAUUGGUGCUUGCAUCAUGAUUUACAUUUGAGUGAGUGGCGAACUGGUGAGUAACACGUGGGAAACCUGCCCAGAAGCGGGGGAUAACACCUGGAAACAGAUGCUAAUACCGCAUAACAACUUGGACCGCAUGGUCCGAGCUUGAAAGAUGGCUUCGGCUAUCACUUUUGGAUGGUCCCGCGGCGUAUUAGCUAGAUGGUGGGGUAACGGCUCACCAUGGCAAUGAUACGUAGCCGACCUGAGAGGGUAAUCGGCCACAUUGGGACUGAGACACGGCCCAAACUCCUACGGGAGGCAGCAGUAGGGAAUCUUCCACAAUGGACGAAAGUCUGAUGGAGCAACGCCGCGUGAGUGAAGAAGGGUUUCGGCUCGUAAAACUCUGUUGUUAAAGAAGAACAUAUCUGAGAGUAACUGUUCAGGUAUUGACGGUAUUUAACCAGAAAGCCACGGCUAACUACGUGCCAGCAGCCGCGGUAAUACGUAGGUGGCAAGCGUUGUCCGGAUUUAUUGGGCGUAAAGCGAGCGCAGGCGGUUUUUUAAGUCUGAUGUGAAAGCCUUCGGCUCAACCGAAGAAGUGCAUCGGAAACUGGGAAACUUGAGUGCAGAAGAGGACAGUGGAACUCCAUGUGUAGCGGUGAAAUGCGUAGAUAUAUGGAAGAACACCAGUGGCGAAGGCGGCUGUCUGGUCUGUAACUGACGCUGAGGCUCGAAAGUAUGGGUAGCAAACAGGAUUAGAUACCCUGGUAGUCCAUACCGUAAACGAUGAAUGCUAAGUGUUGGAGGGUUUCCGCCCUUCAGUGCUGCAGCUAACGCAUUAAGCAUUCCGCCUGGGGAGUACGGCCGCAAGGCUGAAACUCAAAGGAAUUGACGGGGGCCCGCACAAGCGGUGGAGCAUGUGGUUUAAUUCGAAGCUACGCGAAGAACCUUACCAGGUCUUGACAUACUAUGCAAAUCUAAGAGAUUAGACGUUCCCUUCGGGGACAUGGAUACAGGUGGUGCAUGGUUGUCGUCAGCUCGUGUCGUGAGAUGUUGGGUUAAGUCCCGCAACGAGCGCAACCCUUAUUAUCAGUUGCCAGCAUUAAGUUGGGCACUCUGGUGAGACUGCCGGUGACAAACCGGAGGAAGGUGGGGAUGACGUCAAAUCAUCAUGCCCCUUAUGACCUGGGCUACACACGUGCUACAAUGGAUGGUACAACGAGUUGCGAACUCGCGAGAGUAAGCUAAUCUCUUAAAGCCAUUCUCAGUUCGGAUUGUAGGCUGCAACUCGCCUACAUGAAGUCGGAAUCGCUAGUAAUCGCGGAUCAGCAUGCCGCGGUGAAUACGUUCCCGGGCCUUGUACACACCGCCCGUCACACCAUGAGAGUUUGUAACACCCAAAGUCGGUGGGGUAACCUUUUUAGGAACCCAGCCCCGCCCUU